rnacentral:rRNA from 1 species
UGAUUACGUCCCUGCCCUUUGUACACACCGCCCGUCGCUACUACCGAUUGAAUGAUUUAGUGAGGUCUUCGGACUGUUGCUCGARACGACUUCCGGGUCGGAUCGSUGCGCCGGRAAGAUGACCGAACUUGAUUAUUUAGAGGAAGUAAAAGUCGUAACAAGGUUUCC